rnacentral:tRNA from 1 species
GCCUCAUUAGCUCAGGGGUUAGAGCACUGGUCUAGUAAACCAAGGGUCCAGAGUUCAAAUCUCUGAUGAGGCU